rnacentral:rRNA from 1 species
ACUCCUACGGGAGGCAGCAGUGGGGAAUAUUGCACAAUGGGGAAACCCUGAUGCAGCCAUGCCGCGUGUGUGAAGAAGGCCUCGGUUGUAAAGCACUUCAGUAGGGAGGAAGGUAGUGUAGUUAACACCUGCAUUAUUUGUACGUUACCUACAGAAGAAGCACCGGCUAACUCCGUGCCAGCAGCCGCGGUAAUACGGAGGGGUGCGAGCGUUAAUCGGAAUUACUGGGCGUAAAGCGCAUGCAGGCGGCCUGUUAAGUCAGAUGUGAAAGCCCGGGGGCUUAACCUCGGAAUUGCAUUUGUAAACUGGCAGGCUAGAGUCUGUAGAGGGGGUAGGAAUUUCAGGUGUAGCGGUGAAAUGCGUAGAGAUCUGAAGGAAUACCAGU